UACGAAGGGGGCUAGCGUUGCUCGGAAUGACUGGGCGUAAAGGGCGCGUAGGCGGACGGCUAUGUCGGGCGUGAAAUUCCAGGGCUUAACCUUGGGGCUGCGUUCGAGACGGGUUGUCUAGAGUUUGGAAGAGGGUCGUGGAAUUCCCAGUGUAGAGGUGAAAUUCGUAGAUAUUGGGAAGAACACCGGUGGCGAAGGCGGCGACCUGGUCCUUGACUGACGCUGAGGCGCGAAAGCGUGGGGAGCAAACAGG
rnacentral:rRNA from 1 species